GUGCCAGCAGCCGCGGUAACACCGGCAGCUCGAGUGGUAGCCGCGUUUAUUGGGCCUAAAGCGUCCGUAGCCGGUCCGAUAAGUCUCUGGUGAAAGCCCACAGCUUAACUGUGGGAAUCGCUGGAGAUACUAUCGGACUUGAGGCCGGGAGAGGCUGGAGGUACUCCCAGGGUAGGGGUGAAAUCCUAUAAUCCUGGGAGGACCACCUGUGGCGAAGGCGUCUUACCAGAACGGGUUCGACGGUGAGGGACGAAAGCUGGGGGCACGAACCGGAUUAGAUACCCGGGUAGUCCUGGCCGUAAACGAUGCGGACUUGGUGUUGGGACGGCUUUGAGCUGUCCCAGUGCCGAAGGGAAGCUGUUAAGUCCGCCGCCUGGGAAGUACGGCCGCAAGGCUGAAACUUAAAUGAAUUGGCGG
rnacentral:rRNA from 1 species